GCGCUGCACGGACAGCCCUCAGUAGGAAACAGUUGGCCGAGAAAACACUCAUUUCCUGUUCGCCGCCUCUUCGUUCUACGUUGCAACCCAACCUAGCUUUCAUCUCUGGGUUGUUCUGUACUUGGGAAAGUCAAAAUGAGUGCGUCGAAUUCAUGAGGAUCGAGAUCUCUGUUUAGAUACAAACAGCUCCAAUUAUCAUCUAAGCCUGACUCUCAACUAAAUCACAUCAUUUGAGCUUCA